GGGGGCUAGAGACGAUGCGACAAGUACCGUGAGGGAAGAUGAAAAGAACUUUGAAAAGAGAGUUAAACAGUACGUGAAAUUGUUGAAAGGGAAACGAUUGAAGCCAGUCGUACCUUCGGGUAAUCAGCCUUUCGGGUGCGAUUCUGUGGAGUGUGAGGAGCUUAACACCUUCAUGCCUUUGCAUUUCCGUGCUCUGGGUGUUCCUUGCCCGUCGGGAUGGUAAACUCAAAUUUGGAGGUCAAUAAAAGGCUGGAGGAAUGGUACUUUCAU
rnacentral:rRNA from 1 species